GGGCCCGCACAAGCGGUGGAGCAUGUGGUUUAAUUCGAUGAUACGCGAGGAACCUUACCAGGGCUUAAAUGUAGUGGGACAGGUCUAGAGAUAGACCCUUCUUCGGACUCAUUACAAGGUGCUGCAUGGUUGUCGUCAGCUCGUGCCGUGAGGUGUCAGGUUAAGUCCUAUAACGAGCGCAACCCCUAUCGUUAGUUGCCAGCGAGUAAUGUCGGGAACUCUAACGAAACUGCCGGUGCAAACCGCGAGGAAGGUGGGGAUGACGUCAAAUCAUCACGGCCCUUACGUCCUGGCCACACACGUGCUACAAUGGUACAGACAGAGGGCAGCCACCUGGCGACAGGGAGCGAA
rnacentral:rRNA from 1 species